UACAGAGGGUGCAAGCGUUAUUCGGAAUUAUUGGGCGUAAAGAGCGUGUAGGCGGUUCUUUAAGUCUGCUGUGAAAGCCCUGGACUCAAUCCAGGAAGUGCAGUGGAUACUGAAGAACUAGAGGAUAGGAGAGGAGAGCGGAAUUCCUGGUGUAGAGGUGAAAUUCGUAGAUAUCAGGAGGAACAACAGUGGCGAAGGCGGCUCUCUGGACUAUUACUGACGCUGAUGCGCGAAAGCGUGGGGAGCAAACAGG
rnacentral:rRNA from 1 species